rnacentral:ncRNA from 2 species
UAUGGCGAAGGUGAUGGGGUUCCACCUAAUUGAACCGCCGAAUUGUUGAGACGCUCAGCGUCAAACAACCCUCUCGGCUGAUGACUCCUACUAAAAU